rnacentral:rRNA from 1 species
CAGUAGCCGCGGGAAUACCGAGGGUGCGAGCGUUAAUCGGAUUUACUGGGCGUAAAGCGUGCGUAGGUGGCUUCUUAAGUCGGAUGUGAAAUCCCUGAGCUUAACUUAGGAAUUGCAUUCGAUACUGGGAAGCUAGAGUAUGGUAGAGGAUGGUAGAAUUCCCGGUGUAGCGGUGAAAUGCGUAGAGAUCUGGAGGAAUACCGAUGGCGAAGGCAGCCAUCUGGCCUAAUACUGACGCUGAGGUACGAAAGCAUGGGGAGCAAACAGGAUUAGAUACCCCGGUAGUCCCUGUCUCUUAUAC